rnacentral:rRNA from 1 species
AUGCGUCUGAUCCCCAAGAGUAUUGCGGUUCAUCGGUUAGGAGGAGAUCGAGCCUACUGGACUGUUGCUUUGUUUAUUUUGGGGGGUGCUGACUGGAAUGCUCAUGACCCAGAAGUGCCACCGGUGGAUGAAGGGCCGCCACCGGCUAAUGGAAUCCCCCAUCCCAUGUUCGGUGAUGGGCUCAUGGCGGAACAACUGUAUCAACAACAGUUGCAGAAUUGGCUCAUUCAGAACGGGAUUGGAAACGAUGGCCCGCACAGUGUUGCUCACCAAGAUGAUCCUCAACCUGCUUCAUGGGAUGCCUGGCCUGCACCACUAGUUGCACAAAUGCUGGCUGCCCUUGUUAAUUUCCAGUCCUGGCUAGCAGCUCAAGGUCUGAUAGUCCCAAGAUGGUAUCUUACCUGA